GGCGAACGGGUGAGUAAUGCAUCGGAACGUGCCCAUGUCGUGGGGGAUAACGUAUCGAAAGGUACGCUAAUACCGCAUACGUCCUGAGGGAGAAAGCGGGGGAUCUUCGGACCUCGCGCGAUUGGAGCGGCCGAUGUCGGAUUAGCUAGUAGGUGAGGUAAAGGCUCACCUAGGCGACGAUCCGUAGCGGGUCUGAGAGGAUGAUCCGCCACACUGGGACUGAGACACGGCCCAGACUCCUACGGGAGGCAGCAGUGGGGAAUUUUGGACAAUGGGCGCAAGCCUGAUCCAGCCAUGCCGCGUGAGUGAAGAAGGCCUUCGGGUUGUAAAGCUCUUUCGGCCGGGAAGAAAUCGUGGUCUCUAACAUAGGCCAUGGAUGACGGUACCGGACUAAGAAGCACCGGCUAACUACGUGCCAGCAGCCGCGGUAAUACGUAGGGUGCGAGCGUUAAUCGGAAUUACUGGGCGUAAAGCGUGCGCAGGCGGUUUUGUAAGACAGAUGUGAAA
rnacentral:rRNA from 1 species